GAUGGAACAAAAGGAGAAAAGAAAACUCACAGUAGAAAUGUAAAUGUUUAGCAACCUGGCACUUUGUCAUCAAUGUGCCCUCAAUAUUAAAUUGUUCAUUGAUCAAAAGCUGAUCUUAAGCUUGGAAAUACUACUAACAUUACUUUUGGAGAAAACCAAAUUGUGACUGUAAACAACAGGUCUUUUAUUAACUUUAUAUGAAAAUUUAGUUACAUGUUUUUCUCUAACAAGACCCUGGCGAUUCCCAUAUAAAUCCUGGGCAUGUUUAAAAGUACUGCAGCUGAAUUGGACCACAGAACAGUGAUAGUUCCUGAAGAAGUCUUGCAGACAGAUGCAGCUAUGGGCAACUAAUGGAAGAAGCUGAAGCAGUUGCUUGCCUCUAUCAUUCCAUCACUCCAUCCUUAAGAUAGUUUCUCACAUGUGUCUCCAUAGGCUAACAGGAUGGUUAGUUAGGUAAUGAGCAGCUUGGGCCAAGUCCCCUUGCAAGCUAACAUAGCCUGCAAUUGACAGAUUAAUACAAUUUGUUCAUUUUA